UACCCCGUGGUGUAACGGUAACACAUCGGGUUUUGGUUCCGCUAUUGGGGGUUCGAAUCCCUCCGGGGUAA
rnacentral:tRNA from 1 species